GAGAGGUCGUUACCUUGUGGCUGAGGAAAGGGAACGAAUAGAACGCCACUAGAGAAGAUUACCAAACUAUGACAACUUCUGCCUCAGAGAGAAUCUACACGGUUUAAUUUACUGCACCUCCGUGAUGUCUGCUGGCAAGAUGGAUAAAAUCUUCACAUUACUUCAGAAGUUCAGACUGGAUAAAUACUACAAAAAAUUCAUUGAUCUUGGGAUUGAAGAAGAACUGGAUUUUUUUGACAGCGUCAAUGAUGUGACCUUAAAAUCCAUGGAUUUUUCACAAGCAGAGAGGAACCGGUAUGGCAAUAUGAUUGCUUAUCUGCGAAGAAUUGGCAAUGCACCAGUUCCAGAGAUGCAAGGAAUGACUGUAAUGAAGUCACUUAAUUCAUUUCAUAUAUCCUACCGAUUUCCAAAAUGUCCUGGGAUAAAAGAGAUCACAGGUAUAGAUCCCUCACAAAAUACAGUGGAGGACCUGAUGUUGCGAAUCUGCCAUGAAAACAAGGUUGACAGAAACAUGUCUGUAUGCCUUUACACUGCUGAUGGUAUGCCUUUGACUGAUGACCCCUUCUUCAACACAUGGUCUUUGAAUGACAGACAUAUUGCAAGUGGGAGUGAACUGUAUGCCAUAUUUACACCAAGGGAAAAUUUAACAGCGUUACCACUGACACAAAGACAGGCCAACAUCAGAAAUGAAGGACCAAGUGUCAUCCGCUGUCACAUAAUGUUACAGGGAGACUUUGAAAUCAAAGUCAACCUCGAAAGUGAUACACUGAGAGAUGUGACGCUGCGGCUUUCACUUGAAAGUUGUAUACCAGCACCAGUUCUUCACAUCAGAGGCGAAGAGUAUAAUCAUGUUGACAAACUUAAUGAGCUUGGAAUCACAGAGGAUUCAGUUCUACAGUUCUCUCUGUCAUCAUUUGAUAAUGAGAAACCAAAUCCAAGUCUUUUGUUCCAAAAAGAUGUCAGACCCUCAGUGAAGCAAACAGAGAAAGGCCUAAGUGUAUUUCUGUCAACGCUGUAUGCCAUUGUAUGUUUAAAAAAACAAACAAACUAUCAUUUCUAUUUUGUCAAGGUUUGA
rnacentral:lncRNA from 1 species